GACGAACGCUGGCGGCGUGCUUAACACAUGCAAGUCGAGCGGUAAGGCCCUUUCGGGGGUACACGAGCGGCGAACGGGUGAGUAACACGUGGGUGACCUGCCCUCAGCUCUGGGAUAAGCCCUGGGAAACCGGGUCUAAUACUGGAUAUGACUCCAUGACGCAUGUUGUGGGGUGGAAAGCCUUGUGCGGCUGAGGAUGGGCCCGCGGCCUAUCAGCUUGUUGGUGGGGUGAGGCCUACCAAGGCGACGACGGGUAGCCGGCCUGAGAGGGCGACCGGCCACACUGGGACUGAGACACGGCCCAGACUCCUACGGGAGGCAGCAGUGGGGAAUCUUGCGCAAUGGGCGAAAGCCUGACGCAGCGACGCCGCGUGAGGGAUGACGGCC
rnacentral:rRNA from 1 species